AUUGAACGCUGGCGGCAGGCUUAACACAUGCAAGUCGAGCGGGGGAAGGUAGCUUGCUACCGGACCUAGCGGCGGACGGGUGAGUAAUGCUUAGGAAUCUGCCUAUUAGUGGGGGACAACAUCUCGAAAGGGAUGCUAAUACCGCAUACGUCCUACGGGAGAAAGCAGGGGAUCUUCGGACAUUGCGCUAAUAGAUGAGCCUAAGUCGGAUCAGCUAGUUGGUGGGGUAAAGGCCUACCAAGGCGACGAUCUGUAGCGGGUCUGAGAGGAUGAGCCGCCACACUGGGACUGAGACACGGCCCAGACUCCUACGGGAGGCAGCAGUGGGGAAUAUUGGACAAUGGGGGGAACCCUGAUCCAGCCAUGCCGCGUGUGUGAAGAAGGCCUUAUGGUUGUAAAGCACUUUAAGCGAGGAGGAGGCUACUUUAGUUAAUACCUAGAGAUAGUGGACGUUACUCGCAGAAUAAGCACCGGCUAACUCUGUGCCAGCCGCCGCAGUAA
rnacentral:rRNA from 1 species